CUCAAAGGGAAGACGUACAUUUGUCUUCUAUUUUUAACCUCUCUAUAUUUUUAGAAGAAAAGUUUUGGUUUUAUUGUUACAUGGAAAAAUUAUAUAUAUAUAUAAUUUCUUUCAUUAGUAUAAGUAAAUCAUGCACGACGAAAAUAAAGGUAAAAUGAACAAUUUACGACCUCAUCAAAAUGAACUACAUCAAUUGGGAGAAUUAGCAGGAGUUUAUAUGGAUUCCAAAGUAUUUAGAUUACUUGUGGAAUUAUUGAACAUGGGAUAUGAUCCAGAUACAAUUUACAAUCUAUUGAGAAUUAUCAAAAGAUCGAAAACUUCAAAGUCUAGAUCAUCAACAAUUUCUCAAAAAACGAAAAGUUAGAUAAUUUAACUAUUAUUGAGCAUAUUUUUACUUAUUUAAAUAAAAAUUUAUGUUCUCUUUUUAAAAGAUUUUACUAUUUAAUUUAUCAAUUUACAAUUUUUUGUAAUGGAAUACUUUUUAUAUUAAUAGAAUGAAUCAUAACUAUUGUUGCUACUAUAUUGUAAGUUAAAUUUUAAAAAGGUGUGAAAAAAAACAAAACCCAGACUGGAAUUGAAUUCAAUAUCUGGUAACACAGCAUUAAAGUAUAAAUUAAGGUUGGUUUAUGCAGACAAAAUUAAAAAUCAACAUUAAACUAACACAAAUUUAAUCACUAUUUGAAUGACACUGAAAUGGUACAUGUAGAUCAUGCAGGAAAUUAAGAGAAAAUUAAACUUACAGUUGGCCAAAUUUUAACUUUUAACUAACAAAGAGAGGAGGAGUCAUAUGGAGACGAUGACAUAAUUAUAAAAUAAUAAUAAUGUAAAUGCUGACAGAACAUUUCCCCCAUUAUUUGUGUUCAAAUGUUUGAGAACAUUUUUUUAUAUUAUCAACAGACAUAUGUUAACACAAUAAAUAUCAUUUUUCAUUAUACUUUAUUCAGCAUUCUUGUUUCCUUUUUAUUCAUUAAGUAAUUCUAGAAGGAAGCAGUCUUUGUUCAAAUCAUCAAAUUAAGAAUCGUUAAGUAUAAAAUAGAAUGUUAAAAAAAGUUAAUUUUCACUUAGGUAAUUUAACUCGGGUAUAUCAAACGGGCCGCGCGCCUUCGUGAAUUUUAGAAUUCCACUAGAACAGUGUGAAUACUCCGAGCAUUCAAACUACAGAUUCCAGGUUCGAAUCUGGUCUGGGAAGAUUUAUUUUUUAAUGUUUUUAUGUGUACAGAACUAAAUAAAAAUAUUUAGUAGUAUUUUAAAUGAUAAAAUUAUAAAAACCGAUUUUUUAUAACAAAACAAUAUAAUAUAUGUAGCUAUAUAAAGAAAGCAUCUGGCAUCAGUAAUUAAUGAUUCAUUAAUCACUGCCGUGAUUAAUGGGUGUUAUUGUUCGAGCAAGCAGACAUAUAAUGGGCACAUUAUACAACAGUAAUGGAUAAAUAAAAUCAAAAGCGAA